rnacentral:rRNA from 1 species
AACGAACGCUGGCGCGCGUGCUUAACACAUGCAAGUCGUACGAGGAAACACAUCCUUCGGGGUGUGGAGUAAAGUGGCGCACGGGUGAGUAACACGUGGGUAACCUACCCUGAGGAUCGGGAUAACUGGCCGAAAGGCCCGCUAAUACCGGAUAAGACCACAUGGGCUCAGGCCCAAGAGGUCAAAGUCGGCCUAUCGAAGAAGCCGGCACCUUAGGAGGGGCUCGCGGACCAUUAGCUAGUUGGUAGGGUAACGGCCUACCAAGGCUGAGAUGGUUAGCUGGUCUGAGAGGAUGACCAGCCACACUGGAACUGAGAUACGGUCCAGACUCCUACGGGAGGCAGCAGUGAGGAAUAUUGCGCAAUGGAGGAAACUCUGACGCAGCAACGCCGCGUGGGUGAAGAAGGCCUUCGGGUUGUAAAGCCCUGUCAGGUGGGAAGAAACCUCGAUAGGUGAAUAUCCUAUCGAACCGACGGUACCACCAAAGGAAGCACSGGCAUUCUCCGUGC